AGUAGGCUAGACCAUCUAGUUUUGUGUGAGGACAGUUACACGUCCCUUAAAGAUGGGAAGCCAUUUGAGAAACGUGUCCAUAAGUGAUUUUGUCCUUGUGUGAAUAUCAUAGAGUAGACUGAAGGGGAACAAAAUUUUCCACCCCAAAAUGUGUCUCUUUAACAUGAGGCUUGUUUUAGAUCCAUUAUUUUUAAGAAACGAAAGACUCAGAAAGUUUUUCUUGUUACUUCCCUCUUAACUGCCUAAAAGAAUUCAGAUAGAAAAGCCUGUCUCAGGAAGCAAGCGAUCACCUUAGCAUCACGCGAACCAAGUGGUAAACACGGAGGAACCUAGAAAAGCCUGUUUGUCGGGCUCCCCUCUGUGUUCUUCUGUCUCUGUGUGGCCAAAAACACUCGUCUUCCAAAGUUUGCUCCUCGUCACCUGCCUGUGAAUGGCCUUCCUUCUCUUUAAAGUCCCUGACCCUCCCCACCCCCAGCAUCUUCUUUUGUCUUUAGCUGAUGAUGGUAUUUAAGGUGGUGGCUUUGGCCACUUUGGUGAGUUACUCAGUUUUCCUGGGUUUCUCCCGUGCACACGUGUUAUUAAACUUUUGUUUCUCUCCUGUUAAUCUGUCUCAUGUCAAUUUAAUUCUUAGAUCAGCCAGAAGAACCUAGAAGGGUGGGGGAAAAUUUAUCCCUCCUCUACAGUACUUACAGAAACCUAGAUGGUACAGCCUGCUACACACCUAGGUUAUAUGGUACUAAUCUUAUGGGACCACCGUCUUCUAUGUGGUCUGUUGUUGACUGACACAUCAUUACGCAGUGCACAGCUGUACACUCUAAAAUGUUCACACAGUGACGAAACAGCUUAAGGGUGCAUUUCUCAGAAUGUGUCCCCAUCAUUAAGCGAUGCCUGACUGUAUAUGUGUAUAUUCAAAAGAAUAAGAAUAUGAACUAAAUUGUUACAGGUUACUGCAAUGCUGAUCUCUGGGUAGUGGUGAUUUUUCUACUUAUUGAUUUUGCUUAUCUGUAUUUCUCAUUUUCUGUGCGUGUGUGUGUGUGUGUGUGUAGAAAUGCAAUGUUAUAGACGAAUAUAAAGGAUCCUCCAAUGUCAUCUCCCUCCCCUUCCAGAAAUAACUACAUUUAGAAGACAUCUUUGCUCACAGGGGUUUGUUGCUUUUGUUGUUGUUGUGGAGAAUUCUAAAUAUAAACAAAAGUAGAGAGAAGAGUAUUGUAACCUCCGUGUCUCUGUUGCCCGGCAACAGUUAUCGACUUAUGGCCAGUCCUCAGUCCACAUCCCCGUCGAUUCUCCCCUCUUCCAUAUUAUUUUUUUCUAAUAUAUUUUGAUUUUGAAACAAUCUCAAACUUACAGAAAAGUUGUAGGUAUGGUUCCUCUGAAACAUUUAGGGGUAUGUUUCCAAUCGGAUGCACCAUUAACACCACUGCAAAAUUCUUUACUGUGUAUUUUCUCCAAACAAGGACAAUCUCCUAUGCAACCACAAGACAGCCAUCACUGUCACGACUGUCACUUUGAUUCAGUAACUGUCUGUGCAGAAAAGGGUUUAACAGAGUGGGCCUCUCUCCAUAGAAAGGCCUGUUUGCAAGGUUGGCCCUUGGCUGGCAUCUGGGAACCUGAAUUUUGGAAGUUUUCCCUCUAUUUCCUAACUGAUAAGGGGGGGGGGGCGCUCCUUGUGCUUAGACUGUUUGUGCAAACAAUAUGGUUUAUGCUGACUGCCUGCCUUCAUCCUGGGAGUCUGGCAUGUUGGUAUGUGCCAGGCAGAGGUUGCUGAGUCUGCUCUAAUGAGCUUCCUGACCAUCACCCACAUGUGGCUGCAUUUUCAUUGCUUCGGGGGGCGGGGGGGGGGGAGUACACUCUGCAUGACCACUCAGGGAAGGGAGAGGACAGAGGAACCUGCCCUUGGAGUCUUCCAGUCUCUGCCUGUGUCUUUUUCCCUUGUGAUCCAACUGUGCGUCCUUACUGCACCAUUGUAGUAAAUGUCAGCAGUGAGCAUGUUACUGGCACAUUGAGUUCUUAUUGUCCCCCAGGAUGGAAAUCAAGAGAGACAACAAACAGGAGUAGAAAAGUAAACGUUUAUUAGCUUGUGCACAGGAGAGGCACAAGGGAGGCAGUGCAGAAAGGAAAGGGGCAGGUGACCAGCUCAUUAGGGAAUGGGAUUAUGGGGCUUUUAUUAGGUAGAGGCUGGGGAGAAGUGCCUUAUCAUGGCAUGGAGAGGUGGGGUUGUGCUUGUGCUUGCACUGUUGUUCAACAUGCCACCACAUGCAUUGCAUGGAUCAUUAGCAUGCUAGCUCUCCACCCCUGGGUGUGAUUUUUACUAUGCUAAUGGGGCUAGGGUCACCUUCAGUGGACUGCUUAGUGCCUGGGUGCAUGCGUAAGCUCAGAAGCAUCCAGAGCUGUGGAAUGUAGAUCUUGGUGGCCUCUACCUGGUUCUCCUGGCUUGCCAAAUGGUUAGGGGCCAUAUCUUGUUAGGCCAGGGGACUUGCAGAUGGCCCUGUCUCAUUAGGUUGCUUCCUGUCUCAUUCCCCCCAGAGAGAUUCUAUCCUCCUUAAUCUUAAGGAUCAUGGGCUAAGGUCUCUUCUUCUGAAGCUACUUCCUGCUGACAGGGAUUGAGAAGGGAGCCCUAUAUCUGGAAGGAGUAAAAAUCUUUUUCAGCUUGUCGCAGGGUCCAGCAGGAAUGAGAAUGAGGACCAGGUGAGUUGGCCAUUGGAAGUGCCUGGAAUCCUUGCAUGACCAUCAGUCUAACGUGGAAUUGUUGGAGCCUAGAGGACACAAACUUGACAAGAAGAUUAAAAAGACAGGAACCAAAAAUUAAUAGGAGUACAAUGAUUUCCAGGGGGUCCCAAAAAGGGAAGGAACCAACUGAGGGAUGGGAAAGCACCCUUGAUCAGUGACCACGCCUGAUUGGGGUCUAUCUAUCCUUGGUUAUGUCAGUGAUGCCAGGACGCUUGUUCAUAGAUUUCCCAGAUGUUGGUCUCACUCUUUCCUGAGUUAUUAACAUUAGUCAUUUUUAGAGAAACAAAAAGAAAAAUAAGGUUAAUGGUAGGAGCAAAUUAUAAACCAGUCUCUGAGUCCAGGGAGCAGCCAGCCAAAAAAAUUUUUAGGUGUCAAAGUCGAAGCAUCUUUUGUAGUUUGAAAUAUCUCUGAUGAUGUCAUUGGUGUUCUAGUGUCUUAUGAGUGGCUUACAUGACAGCAGACAUGAAUCUCCCUUAAGUUUAUAUCAAGCUGUCCAUCUUCAGUCUACAGAGCUUCAGAAAAAUGGCAGGUCCAGUUUUCAAUGAUUCCAAAUGAAAAUGAUGGAAAGGAAAGUUGAAAAAAUUAGUUUGCAGAUUUGUAGCCAGAUAUUUCAGGAGACUAGAAGAAUUCAGGGUCUGAUCCAGCUCACAGAUUGAAAACAAAACCCUCAAAAUAAUUAUCAGAACUAGAACCUAAUAUCCAUGAAUGUGUACUAUAGUUUCGAUUGAAACAUAAUUUUUCUCUCUAAAAUCACCCUCAUUUUUACCAAAGAUAGCCAAUUAAGACUCACUGGUUUGCAAACUAAGUCUAGUUUCAACAAACUUUGCCCAAGAAUUUACACAAGUACAGGAAGAAUAGCCAUCGGUUAUAUAGGCUCUUUCAAAUCUGCUUUGCUGGAACUUUUUAUAAGGACUCUCAGAUUGAACUUUAAACACCUCUUGAGGUUAGGAAAGCCAAGCCAAGGACUUGUCAUCAGGCUUUGCCUGCAAUACCAUAGAUUUGGAGGAAUUCCUCUCUUCUCUUGAAGUUCCCUAAAAUAUUGAGGUUCCUUUCACCUGCUAGAUAAGUUACCUUCUUUCCUUACCCAGUAAGGUUGCUAGGAACUCUGUAAACAAGGUACCAGGCCAAUAUUUCCAAGCGGCUUUGUUCCAGAAAGUCAACCUUUAUUCCUCAAAAACUGUCUUGUAAUAUCUGAGUCUGUAUGUUUCUCUCAAAUAUGACAUUCCAAUCAAAGCCUUGGUAAUAUAACCAAUGUUUCCAAUUGUGUCCUGUUAUAAGGAGAACAGAUUCUUAUUGAACUUAUGCAAAUAACUAUAUGGCCAUGAAAACAAUACUCACUCACUAGGAGUUUCCAAAUUCUUGAGGGAUCACGUAGGGAGAAAAAGAUAAAUGUUUCAAUUCUGCUUACAAAGGUAUAAUUUAACAAAUUGUUAUAAGUCAUAGUUAGCAUGAGAGAAAAGAAAAAGAGAUUUCCUUAAAUCUGGAAAAAGAAAACAUCAAAAUAAAUCAGCAACAUCUCAAAUGAAAAGUCAUAUAAAUUAUAGUCAUUGUCAUCAGUUCAUUCAGUCCUGUGUAAUAUAUACUUGAUCUGAAUCUUCUGUUAGCAGUUUUAUGAAGCCAUCAGUUUCUCCCUUAGAGUUCUGUGAUUUCUUACCCAGUUCAGUUUUAUGAUCUGAAAGUUUUUCAGAAACCUGUAUUUCUAGAGUAAGUGUCAGAUUCUUUUCCAUGAAUCUCUCUGAAGACAAAACAUAUUUGCAAAAGCAAAAAGCAUCAGAGUAAAACAGCAACUAUCUGGAAAUGACAAAAGACUCAAAAGGGCAAUUGACAAAGAAACUUGACUAUUUCUCUGACAUACAACAUUUCAAGAUAAUAACUAGAAUUAUGGCUGACAAUCAGGACAGAUGAGAAUUUUAGGAAUGUUAUGCAAUUUCAAAACACCUAUAUCAAUAGCAUUCACCCACAUAAUACCACCUAAGAAGGCUUAUCAUCACUCAUUUGACAAUGUUUCCCAUGUAAUUUAACAGACCAAAUAAGCCUAAUUAGUUUAGUAUCUUCCUCCUUGUAGGAACACAGAGCAAAUUUCUUUGAGAAGUCUCAGGGGCCCUCUGAAAAUCCUCAGAGAAAUUUUCUUCCUUCUUCCAGGUCAAAAGAAAGCCUUUAUUCAGUAUUUGAAUAUAUUUUUGAGGGGAAGCUUGUCAAAAAUAUCAAAAGAUUUUAAAACCCUUGUUCAAAUACGAAACAAUGCUCAGUUAUCCAUUCAAUCAAAGUGACAACAGAAACAGUCAGAAGCAAACAGAGAGUUAAAACAGUCAAGAAACCUUGAUAGAGAGACCUCAGUCUUUUUGAACAUAGGAAAUUAUUUUAACAAAACAUAGAUUUUCUGUCUUUUUAGGUAGACUUACUCAAAAAUAAAGAAAAACCUUUUGUAACCUCUUUACCAAGAGCAGACUAAAAGUCCAAGAAAAUUAUCCUUUUAAGAGAGAAAGAAACUUUCAUUUUUGCACCAGUUUAUUUUUGACACUAAAGCUACCUACUUAAUGAGAUUUAUUUCAAUCUUAACCAACUUGACCAUCCAUAAAACUCUUUUUAGGGUUCCUCUUCCACAAACCUCCCAUAGCUUUCUUUCUAUGUUCAGAAUUUGUCCCCUGCUUUCUUUCUUCUCUUCUGGUACUUUAGGACAAAUUUAUCUUUCUUAACAAAACAAAAAUAUUUCCAUUCUUUAUACUGUCUUUACUGAAAACAUACAUUUUACUUUCCUUGAAUACAAACAUGUUUUCCUUAUUAAUUUUUAGUAGCUUUAAUUACAUGUAUUAAUUAAAAUUUUUAACCCUCACAGACCUUAAUGAAAACUAAAAAGCGAGCAAUUAUGAACUGUCCUCUACAUUAGCAUUCUGUGGCUUGACAAAUUUAUAAAUACUUUCCAUAAUUUCUAGAAACAUCCUACUUCAUAGUACAGUCUUAAUAAAAUACAAGACAUGCUUACCAAUAGACCCAAACAUCUUUUAGUUUCUCUGUAAUAAGAAGCCAAAAGUAGAUAAACUUAGAUGUGUUUAGCAAUAAUGUAUCAGUAUAUUAUCUUAUUUGAAAAUGGCCCAGAUAUCCAAUGAGUUUUUUAUCUCUUAAUUUCACCUAAUGAAACCUCAAAGCUUCAAGUUACAAGAAAGAUUUUGAAAGUUAUUUUAAAUACACAUGGCAUAACACAUAAUUACUGUUAAAAAGUUCACCCAACAUUUUUAUCUUGUUCACUUCUAUUCAGUUUACUCAUUCCCAAUAAUUAUUUAGAUUGCCUGCAAAACUUCAUGAGACAUUACACAAAAUUAGCCAUCAUUUUAAGUUGUUAUUUUUGUUGCCAUUUUUGUAACAGAGAUUACAUCAGCUUGUUUGACCAAUAAACGUAGAAUAAAGCCUGCAAGUCUGCAUCAUAUCCGGUGCUAACUCUGGAGGACAUGUCCAUUUUAAUCAAACCAACAAACAUAAAUAAGCUUUCAUUUACCAAAUAUUAACUUUAUCACGUUAAUGAAAGACAUUUUGGUUAGUUUCUUUUACAUUUAGAAGUAAUUUAGGUAAGUGUUUACUUUGAGCCAAUUAAAGAGGGCUCUUAAUUUUAGCCAUCCAUCCAGAGGUAAAAUAUCACACAUGUAUAAUAUACAUGAAGAUACACAUGCACAGAGUCUCCACAUCUAUUGUUUUAAAAUGACUAGCAUGAAUCAGGUACAGUAAUACACUAGUUAUGAAUCCAAAUUUUGUUUUAAGACUUUUCACUAGGGGCCUGCCUGGUGGUGCAGUGGUUAAUUUCACACAUUCUGCUUCGGUGGCCCGGGGUUCACUGGUUCGGAUCCCGGGUGCAAACAUGGCAUCGCUUGGCGGGACAUGCUGUGGUGGACGUACCACGUGUGAGGUGGAGGAAGACAGGCACGAUGUUGGCUCAGGCCAGUCUUCCUCGGCAGAGGGAGGAUUGGUGGCAGAUGUUAGCUCAGGGCUAAUCUUCCUCAAAAACAAACAAAAAAAAGACUUUUUACUAAUAUUUGUGGAGAAGACAUUCAAGAUGCUAGAUUUUUGGCAGGAGCACUCUUUUGGCCUUUUUUUUUUUCUUUUUUCCUUUUUUUCCCCCUUUCAGUCUUAAGAAUUUGUGAUGGGCUAGAUAUUCCCUGGAGGGUUGGCAAGCUCUUUGAGAUAAAGGAAAUGGGUGGAACUUGACCUGCCUCUAGAGCUGCAUUUCCAGUCUUGCAAGGAUUUUUUUAAGGAUCAUUGCUCUUGAUUUCUCAGAAAUUGGGUUAUGAAUUCAUCUACCUGUCCAAUUGCUUCAUAAAGGCACAGAGAAACCACUCAAGUUUUCUCCCAGAUGGAGUUUCUGGGGCAUAACCCAUCCAGUUGAAACUGUUCUCAAUUAGUUAAAAUGCACUCGAGGGGUGAGUCUCUGGGGAUGCUUUGGGCGUUCCCCAUGGUGGUAAAGCACCAUCAGUGUCUGGCUGUCAGCAGCCGGAGUAGCGUGCAGAGCCCAACUGCAGGUGUCAACAUAGUUAUAAGAUUUAGUCAAGUCCCAUUCAGCCCAGGCACUUAGUCCCUGAGCCAGAACAAGGCAAGCCCAGGAGGCAAGAGGCAAAGGCCUGGGGCAGGCCGGAGGCUGAGGCUCUCAAUGCCAGGGUUGAGAGUUAAGUCCCUGGCAGAAAGUUUUUCAAGUUUUUGAUUUUAUAGAAGAUCCAGGUUCUGCUCAGGUCCAGCUCAAACUUAACGUCAACUUGGUGACAACAGAGGAGGUGAUGAAUGAGACAGACAAAGAAGGGAAAGAGGGGCCGGCUCCAUGGCCAAGUGGGUGAGCAUAUCCUCUGUUUCCUCUCCCGGCCACACCUGACUGACCAUCUCAUGAAGGAACACAAGACAAUAAAAUGCUGUGCGUUUACUGAUGAGGAUCAAGGCUGCCCCACAGAGAGAGGCCCAAGGCGUCCUGUCCCACAUACCAAUCUACGUCAUCCUCAGGGAAGCAUAGGACAGACGUCCUGACCUGAUUCAACCUGAUUCUUAUCCAAAGUUAUAGGAGCACCCGAUAACCAGAACCCACCUGCACUGACAUCAUUUUAAUGACUUUUUUUUUAACAUAAUCUUUCCUUUGUUUGUAAAGAAAUAACUCACAUACCUAUGCCUUAUCAAUUCAGCCCUACCCUCAACACAUUGCAGCCCUUCACUGCCCAUGGAUCCUGUCCCCAUGCUGCAUCCCUUCACUGCCCAUGGGUCCUGUCCCCAUGCUGCAGCUCUUCACUGCCCAUGGGCCUGUCCCCAUGCUAUUCUCUGAAUAAAGGAGCACUACUACCGACCUUGAGAGCCCAAAAAUCUUUCUUUCAACUCCCGGGCUCACCGAGCCCACAUCAUUUAUAAUGUACACUAGAGAGAUCGUCUGGAUUAGGGGAUGCAACAGAAACAAGUGUGUGUGCACACGUGCAAGCACGCGCCACACUCCCUUGUCCUUUGCCACCAGUGGGAGGGUUGGAAUUUAAACCCUUUGAGUAUUGGAGACAGAACAAGAGUAAGUCGCUGUACGAUGAUGAUUUUUGCUAUGAUUUGGCCUCUUGGAGCCUUUGGGAAAAAAGGAGCAAGAUGAAAAGAGAGGCACACUCCGGAUGGAGAUGGACAUUUGGAGUUGUGAACCAAUUUUCAGUUUGCUGAUGAGGCCUUGUUAAAACCAAAUGGCUGACCGCCUAAAGGCUGUUGGUUUUCCAGACUGGUGUGCAUAUAUUUUUUUAAUGUGUUUGAAAAAAUCUUUCUUUUGCCUUUGAUUGUUAGUUUUUUUUAAUACACUUUAUUUUUUGGAGCAGUUUUAGGUUCACAGUAAAACUGAGUGGCAAGUACAAAGAAUUCCCAUAUACCCCCUCCCUACACACAGGCACAGCCUCCCCCACCGUCAACAUCACCCUCUAGAGUGGGGCAUUUGUG
rnacentral:lncRNA from 1 species